rnacentral:rRNA from 1 species
CCUACGGGAGGCAGCAGUAGGGAAUCUUCCACAAUGGGCGAAAGCCUGAUGGAGCAACGCCGCGUGGGUGAAGAAGGUCUUCGGAUCAUAAAACACUGUUGUUAGAGAAGAAAGUGCGUGAGAUUAACUGUUCACUUUUCGACGGUAUCUAACCAGAAAGCCACGGCUAACUACGUGCAAGCAGCCGCGGUAAUACGUAGGUGGCAAGCGUUAUCCGGAUUUAUUGGGCGUAAAGCGAACGCAGGCGGUCUUUUAAGUCUGAUGUGAAAGCCUUGGGCUUAACCGGAGUAGUGCAUUGGAUACUGGGAGACUGGAGUGCAGAAGAGGAGAGUAGAACUCCAGGUGUAGCGGUGAAAGGCGUAGAUAUAUGGAAGAACACCAGUGGCGAAAGCGGCCCUCUGGUCUGUAACUGACGCUGAGGUUCGAAAGCGUGGGUAGCAAACAGGAUUAGAUACCCGGGUAGUC